GGACACAGCAAGAAGGCAGCAUCUGGAAACCAAGAAGAAAAUUCUCAGAAGAAAUCAAACUGCCAACACCUUGAUCUUGGGCUUCCAGCCUCCAGAACGAGCAGUUGCAGACAGGAAGCACAAGAGACAUCAAGGAAGGCGCAAGAGCAGCACAGGUGCCUCGGAGGGCAGCAGCAGGUCACAGGCACCAGCUUCUGCCCAUUCCUAGGUCAGAGGACCCUGUUAGCCCUUCAGAGACUGCCAUGCCAGCAAGUUGCCCGACAUCCACUGACCUGUGGGAAGACUCACUUCCACCUCCUGCCAUGCCAGGGCCAGCUUGAAACUGAUAUUAAACUCCCUGCUCAGAUGUAAAUGUCAUGAUAAAGCCAAGUUGCAAGGAUCCAGUAAACUGAUGGCAUCAAUCAAGUCUUUAGGAUGAGGAUUUGUCCCACUCUGUGCAAAGGGAGCUUUGUACUGAUACUGAUAUCAAUGAAUUAUGUGAACACCUACUGUACGCUCAGGAUCAUGUUGACAAAAUGGACUGUGUGAUUCUGCCAAGGAAAACCCCUAUUAAGUGAUUUUUACCCAGGGGUGAUACACUGGGCUGGAGGUGUUUCAAAACACGUGGCAGAGGCCAGGCACAAUGGCUUAUGUCUGUAACCCCAGCACUUUGGGAAGCCAAGGCAGGUGGGUCACUUGAGCUCAGGAGUUCAAGACCAGCCUGGGCAACAUGGCGAAACCCUACCUCUACAAAAAUUACCCAGGCAUGGUGGCAUGCACCUGUUAUCCCAGAUGCUCAAGAGGCUGAGGUAGGAAGAUUGCUUGAGUUCAGAAGGUCAAGACUGCAGUGAGAUGUGAUCACAACACUGAACCCUAGCCUGGGCAACAGAGCAAGACCCUGCCUCGAAA
rnacentral:lncRNA from 10 species